UUGGCUUAUAGUUUACUAUGGACAGCUAACUUAACAAAUUAACAGUUAAUACAUUUAUACAUUUAGUGAUUCGAGGUUACAGUAAAUUUGAGAAGAUAUAGAAUCAAUAGAAGACUCAAAAGAUAUACAUUGAUAGGCUAAAUUAUAAUAAGUACAUAAAACACGGAAUCGUUCAUGAAGGGAAAAAUUAGAUCUCACAAUUGGUAGACGGAUAGGUCGGAAGGCACGAGUGUAUCUUGACGGGACUGCAAUAUUUAUGUCUCUCAACAGAGUAGGAGAACACACCGCACCGGUCAGCAGUUUGUGUAUAAAUAUUACGCCGUUACAAAAUCUGCGGUGUUUUAAGGUGUUUAGGUCAAUCAAUUUUAGCCUGCACAAAUAAGGUGGUGAGUGCCGAUCAUGAUCCCAAUUAAGGUUGCGCAAAGCAAAUAACAAAAAUUGUUUUCGAACCGAUUCUAUUAAGUUCUGUUGGUAUUCCAUACCUCAGAACAGUACUUAAUAAUUGGGCGAACUAGGCUUACGUAUAACGAUUUAGUUGUAUACGGAUCAUUGAACUGCUUUUCCCAACGCUUAAUAAAGGCUAAGACGCCAGUAGCUUUAUUAACUAUAACUGAGAUAUGGCUAUUGAAACAAAGUUUUUGAUCGAACAACGCACAAAAAUAAUUAAUUUUCACCAGGCGCUCCAAUAAGGAGUUUCUAAGGGUGUACGAGGUUGUGUGAAAAGUAGUGCGGAAGAACGACAUUGUUUUGCAUUUUGAAUAAUUUAGUGAUAACAAGUUUGUUGAGGCCCAAGCCUGAAACUUAUUGAGGUCAGGCUGAAUAAGAAGAUGUGAGCUUAAAUUAGAAAACGACAUACAGAUUUUCACAUCA